rnacentral:lncRNA from 1 species
AUCAUAGUUUCUGCCUGGGCCAUGGUCCUGCCUCCCUCUGUCACCUUUGAGUUCCACGUGCUGUCGGCCCAUCUCAAACUCAUGACACAAUUGUUGACACAUAGAUGGUAGCCAGUGCUUGUCAACUAAAGAAGAGAAUGGGAAAGGAAGAAGACAAAAGUGACCAAAGAAAAAAAACAGGUAAACUCAGUGCUGAUGUUAAAAAAUCAAAAGAUGUUGUGCUGCCUUGAGAAGGUUUUUGCACACUUAAAUAUGGGUCAAAUAUUAGCAUGUCAAAAAAGGAGAGGCACACAAUGUUACCAGACCCCUUUCCUCCCUGGGCUGCGUAGGAACAGUGGUAACCUCAGCCUUCACAGAGAGAGACAUCUUCCUGGAAUAACCUGCAUGUCAGGGCGGUAUGCGGUAUCCUACCCACGCCUGGGUGCUGCGUUAGCCUCCUGUUUCCUGUCUGCCCACUCACAUUUGAUUUGACCUCUUUCUCACCAGAAAAGCUAUAUUCUCUCACAACAUAUGUUUUUUUUUUUAAUUCUACCCAUCCUUCUAAGAUGUUCGCAUCUCUCUUUAACAUUUGUCAAAAUGGCUUCACCUCAUGACUUUAUUUUGCAAAUUCACUUAUUUAGAGGCUUGUUAAAACAGACCUGCCCUUGCAAUUUAGGGAUGCAGCCACCAGGUGGCAGGAUGGUGCUCAAACUGCAGGAUGCAGGCUUUCCCUGAAUUCCUCAGGAUUCAGGUUUCCAGUCAAUGCAAGAAGCCCUUCUUCCGUCCCUUCAGGAUCAGCCUGCUCUCUGCAGGGCGCUUCCAGGGACAAGGCCUCAUGAGGACAGCCCACUCCAUAAACAGGUGGAAUGCUGCCUUGAUCAAGUGCAGUCUCCUUCCCAGCUCUGCAAUGCAAGCGCACCCUGGACCCUGACUUCCCCAUCCUCCUUUUAUGCAGUCUCAAACUGAUGUGUCAUCGCUCCACAGUCCCUCAAGCCCCCAAGCUUCUCCCUCCUGCCUAGCUCCUUCCCUGGCCCCCAAAGAAGGCUGACAGGAGAAACUAAACUGAAAUAAAGAGGCCAUGGUAGCUCUGUUUCCUAAGAUGUUUUGUUCUUUUUCUACCCAUAAGGGAAUGAUUCAAAAUGUCCCUCCACCUGGGUCCAACCGGUUUGCCUGAAGUUA